rnacentral:tRNA from 1 species
GGGAAUAUAGCUCAGUGGUAGAGCAUGUGCUUAGCAGGCAUGAGGCCCUGAGUUCAAUCCUUAAUAUCA